rnacentral:rRNA from 1 species
UACGUAGGGUGCGAGCGUUGUCCGGAAUUAUUGGGCGUAAAGAGCUCGUAGGCGGUCUGUCGCGUCGAUCGUGAAAACUUGGGGCUUAACCCUGAGCUUGCGGUCGAUACGGGCAUGACUGGAGUUCGGCAGGGGAGACUGGAAUUCCCGGUGUAGCGGUGAAAUGCGCAGAUAUCAGGAGGAACACCGGUGGCGAAGGCGGGUCUCUGGGCCGAUACUGACGCUGAGGAGCGAAAGCGUGGGGAGCGAACGGG